ACGCUCGACACCUACGAGAGGCAGCAGUGAGGAAUAUUGGUCAAUGGACGCAAGUCUGAACCAGCCAUGCCGCGUGCAGGAUGACGGCUCUAUGAGUUGUAAACUGCUUUUGUACGAGGGUAAACGCAGAUACGUGUAUCUGUCUGAAAGUAUCGUACGAAUAAGGAUCGGCUAACUCCGUGCCAGCAGCCGCGGUAAUCUGAGCGGGCUGGCAAGGC
rnacentral:rRNA from 1 species